UACGGAGGGUGCUAGCGUUGUUCGGAAUCACUGGGCGUAAAGCGCGUGUAGGCGGCCCACUAAGUCUGAUGUGAAAGCCCGGGGCUCACCCCCCGGAAGUGCAUUGGAAACUGGUGGACUCGAGUCCCGGAGAGGAGGGUGGAAUUCCGUGGUGUAGCGGUGAAAUGCGUAGAUAUCAGGAGGAACACCGGUGGCGAAGGCGGCCCUCUGGACGGUGACUGACGCUGAGACGCGAAAGCGUGGGGAGCAAACAGG
rnacentral:rRNA from 1 species